rnacentral:ncRNA from 2 species
GCGCAUUCUCAGGGCAGGGUGAAAUUCCCUACCGGCGGUAAAGCCCGCGAGCACUUAAAAAGUGCGGUCAAUUUUUAGUGAGUAUUUUUCGACGACAUUGAACGCUUUUUAAGGUUAGCAGAUUUGGUGUAAUUCCAAGGCCGACAGUAAAGUCUGGAUGAAAGAGAAUAAGG